UGUUGCUCAGUGGUAGAGUGCUUGCCUAGCAUGCAUGAGGGCCUGGGUUCAAUCUCCAGCA
rnacentral:tRNA from 1 species